GAAGGGGGCGAGCGUUGUUCGGAUUUACUGGGCGUAAAGGGCGCGCAGGCGGUGUGCCAAGUCAGGCGUGAAAGCCCCGGGCUCAACCUGGGAACUGCGUCUGGGACUGACACACUAGAGAUCGGGAGAGGAGAGUGGAAUUCCCAGUGUAGAGGUGAAAUUCGUAGAUAUUGGGAAGAACACCGGUGGCGAAGGCGGCUCUCUGGACCGAUACUGACGCUGAGGCGCGAAAGCGUGGGGAGCAAACAGGAUUAGAUACCCUGGUAGUCCACGCUGUAAACGAUGUGUGCUAGACGUUGGGGAGCCUAGCUCUUCGGUGUCGCAGCUAACGCGGUAAGCACACCGCCUGGGGAGUACGGCCGCAAGGUUA
rnacentral:rRNA from 1 species